rnacentral:lncRNA from 1 species
CCCACUAAGCAGCAAUAAUGGGCUUCUGUUUAUUCUAGGUUUCAGGUUACCCCACCUGAACGUCCUCUGGAACGAAGGAAGUGUCUGGAUCCUUGAGUUCAAGAACAAAUGCCACAGAGGGCCCCAAGAGCGUCCUGAGAAUUUUAGAUAUAUCUGAGUUCAUUCUUCGUAAUACUGUCUGGUCUUGGUAACUAAUGUGAUUAUUUGUUGCUUAUCAAAACAGAAUAAAAUGAAACCAAUAAU